UUACAUUAAAAAUAAAACAAAAUAAUCAACAAAGAAAAAGGAAAGAAGAAAACUACAGAGAGUAUCGUAGCUUUCAUGUAACGUGAAAAUGCCUUCUUCCCAUAAGCACUUAUGAGAAGUGCUUUUUCAUUCUAAAAAAACACUUAUUUUCAAAAGCCAUUCUCUCUACUCUCCUUCAUCAUGAAACACUAACAAAUAAUCAACUAAUUGAUUCACUCCUAAAGAAGGAGAAGGAAUUACCGGCGAAAAAUAUUAUGACGGAGUGACGGGAUUCCGGCAGGGGGCGUUUCCGGCGGGACGUUCAGUUUGUGGAGGCGGGGAAAUCGAGAUUGAGAGGUGCAGCGGAGCUUUGAGGUAACCGUGGAGGUGCGCGGUGGAGUUCCAAGGUUGUUCUCGCGUUUCCGUCAACAAAUCCGAAUGGUUUAAAAGAGGAUGAAAGUCCAGAUGAAAAAACAUUGGGUGUGAGUUCAGAAGAUGGAAGACUUAGUUGAGUUCUGAAUGUCCUACUAAUAAAGCUAUAUGGGUCAAUUGGCUUGAUCAUGGCAAAUUCUCUUAGUAUCCUUUCUACCUAGUUAAAUCCUAUUAGUUCUACUUUUGAUUUCUCACAUUUAAUAUACAUCAUCUCUGAAUGAAAAGUUUUGCUUGGAUCCUUCACUCAACUAAAGAUAUGACUUUGGCUUUGAUUCAGCUGACCAUAAAUUGAUGCAAAUAUUAACACUGACUUUCAUAUGUGAUGGGUUAUUCUGUUACUUUCAAGUGUAAUUACUCUCGUUUCUGAGAAUGUAGUUUUGGACCAAGAUAAUUUCCGGCCAACAUUUACGAUCCAUUCCUCUGUUGGGAUGGCUUGCUUCUGCGUGUCAUCAUAUGUGAUCUACUGCCGGGAAAAACCUUUCACCAAGAAAAUUAUUCGCUUUCGUGACCACUCUGAAUGAUGAACUCUGUAAGUUAACUCUGAGGUGAGUAUGCACUCUGAAUGAUGAACUCUGUAAGUUAACUCUGAGGUGAGUAUUCUUUUUGCAGAUAGUUGAAGAUGAUGAAUUAAACUUGAUUCAGAUUUUGGUACAUGCAUAAAAUACUACUUGAUACAGAUUUUUGUAAAUUAAACUUAAUUAAUAGAUAAUGACAGUGCAUUGUAAGUUUUCAAUUA